GUGAAGAAGGACAUGUUUGCUUCUCCUGCCAUGGCUGGAAGUUUCCUGAGGCCUCCCCAGCCAUCCUGAACUAGGUACCUGGUGCCAGUUCCUGAGACUUGAGGAUUCUGGUUGGUUCUCAGCACAGGAGUCAGCCUGCUCUGAUUUGCUAGUGAUGUCCUAACCAAUCUCCCUGAAAAAUUAUCUGUGAAAUUUAUUUCUAUACAUCCAACAAGCACAAUGAACUCUAGGUAGAAUAAAUUCAGUGAGGUCCACAUCAAGAACAUUGUAAUCAAACUGUUGAAUGUCAAAGACAGAGAAUCUUGAAAGCAACAAGAAAGAAUCAACUAUCAUGUACAAGGGAACCUUAGUAAGAUGAACAGUUGGCUAUUUAUCAGGAACUAUGGAAGCCAGAAAACAGUGGGCAUAUUUAAAGUGCUGAAAGAAAAGAACCUAUCAACCAAGAAUUCUGUAUCUGGCAAAAUUGCCCUUCAAAAGUGAGGAAGAAAUUGAGAUAUUCCCAAUAAACAAAAGCUGAGGGGUUCACUACAAGUAGACCUGCCCUGCAAGAAAUGCUACAAGAUGUCCUCAAGUUGAAAUGAAAGGACACUAAAUGGUAACUUGAAGCUGUAUGAAGAAAUAAAGGUCUACAGUAAAGUGCGUCUAGAGUGUUGACAGUUGUUUCCAUGGACUUCAAAUCAACCCAACCCUGUGAGCACAGACUUUCAGCACCAGAGUCAGAUUUCCCAAAAAUGCUAUUCUUGAAGCGUAGAGCCAGACUCACAGAUCCUGUAAAGAAAACAGAUCUUUCAGCAAGUGAAACACCCAAUCUUCCAUUGCAUGGGACUCACAGAGGUUCUGAGGGAGAGAUGUGAAUAGAAGGAGUGAUCAUCACUGUGGACUCUAUUUCUUCCAUCUGUGCGUGCAAGAUUUAUAUCUGUAUGUGUUUGUUUUAAAGUUUUAUUGAGGUAUAAUUGAUACACAAUAAUCUGUACCUAUUUAAUGUAUACAAUUUGAUGAGUUUGGACAUACUUAAAUACCUGUGAAACCAUCACCACAAUCAAGGUAAUAGACAUAGCCAUCACCUCC
rnacentral:lncRNA from 10 species